AUCUUGCUUCCCUUUUACUUCCAAAUUUCAAGUAAAACCCAUAAGGACAAUAUCACCAUCUUUAAUUAAUUAAUUAAUUAACGACUGUGCCUGUGGCACGCAGAAGUUACAGGCCACGGAUCAAACCCGCAUUACUUCAGUGACUCAAGCCACAGCAGUGAGACAUCACAUCCUUAACUGUUAGGCCACCAGAGAACUCCAUUGCCAGCUUUAAACAGCUCCUCAGCUCAAUGAGUUUUCUCUCCAAAAUCAUAUGUAGGAGUUCCCAUCAUGGCAAAGAAAUGAAUCCGACUAGGAACCAUGAGGUUGCAGGUGUGAUCCCUCGCUUCGCUCAGUGGGUUGGGUAUCCAGCAUUGCCAUGAGAUGUGUAGGCUGCAGACAUGGCUCGGAUCCCACAUUGCUGUGUCUGUGGUGCAGGCUGGCAGCUGUAGCUCCAAUUAGACCCCUAGCCUGGGAACCUCCAUAUGCCGUGGGUAUGGCCAUAAAUAGACACAUAAAUGUGGAAAAUUAAAUCUACCCAGUCACCCAUUCUAGCAACCUGAGAGUCAGAACAAGCCUCCUCCUUCUCCCAUACUCAUUUAUCACCAAGCCCUGACAUAUAUUUUCUUAUAAAUGAUUCUCAAUUCAUACCUCUUCUAUGUAUCUACUCAUCUAUGCUAGUCUUCCUGAUCUUCAUUAUCUUUUGCCUGAAAGAAAACAGCCUCCCAAGCUUCAAAUGCAUCCACUGUGAUCCAUUCUCGAUCCAGAUGCCAGUGAAGGGCUUCAACUAGCAUGUCAAAGCCCCCCAUGCUCCUGCUUACCAUCCUUCAUUGCUUUGAAAAUAAAGGUAAUGGACUUUAGCUUCUCUACAAAAUCUUCUCCCUCAUCCAGCAUGUUCUUUGACUCUCUCCUUUCUCCAAAAUUGCUCCCAGGCAUUCUCUGGUCUGGAUCAGAAUGGCUAAUUUCUUUCAUCAUGACUUAUUUCAGACUAGAGGCAAAUGCAUUUCUGUCGAGUUCAGACCUGAAGAUGGAGUGUUCAUCACAACCUGUCUAUAUAGGGUCAAUCAUUCUUGACCUUAUUUGUUAGCAAUAAUGACAGG
rnacentral:lncRNA from 1 species